rnacentral:rRNA from 1 species
AACGAACGCUGGCGGCAGGCCUAACACAUGCAAGUCGAGCGAGGACUUCGGUUCUAGCGGCGGACGGGUGAGUAACGCGUGGGAAUGUGCCCUUCUCUACGGAAUAGCCCUGGGAAACUGGGAGUAAUACCGUAUACGCCCUAUUGGGGAAAGAUUUAUCGGAGAAGGAUCAGCCCGCGUUGGAUUAGGUAGUUGGUGGGGUAAUGGCCUACCAAGCCGACGAUCCAUAGCUGGUUUGAGAGGAUGAUCAGCCACACUGGGACUGAGACACGGCCCAGACUCCUACGGGAGGCAGCAGUGGGGAAUCUUAGACAAUGGGGGCAAACCUGAUCUAGCCAUGCCGCGUGAGUGAUGAAGGCCUUAGGGUUGUAAAGCUCUUUCAGCUGGGAAGAUAAUGACGGUACCAGCAGAAGAAGCCCCGGCUAACUCCGUG